CCUACGGGAGGCAGCAGUGGGGAAUUUUGCGCAAUGGGGGAAACCCUGACGCAGCAACGCCGCGUGGAGGAUGAAAUAUCUUGGUAUGUAAACUCCUUUCGAUGGGGAAGAUAAUGACGGUACCCAUAGAAGAAGCCCCGGCUAACUUCGUGCCAGCAGCCGCGGUAAUACGAGGGGGGCAAGCGUUGUUCGGAUUUAUUGGGCGUAAAGGGUGCGUAGGCGGUUUGGCAAGUCUUAUGUGAAAUCUUCGGGCUCAACCCGAAGCCUGCAUAAGAAACUGCCGGGCUUGAGUAUUGGAGAGGUGAGUGGAAUUUCCGGUGUAGCGGUGAAAUGCGUAGAUAUCGGAAGGAACACCUGUGGCGAAAGCGGCUCACUGGACAAUAACUGACGCUGAUGCACGAAAGCUAGGGGAGCAAACAGGAUUAGAUACCCUGGUAGUCCUAGCCCUAAACGAUGAUUGUUUGAUGUGGCAGGUACCCAAUCCUGCCGUGUCGAAGCUAACGCGAUAAACAAUCCGCCUGGGGAUACGGUCGCAAGGCNGAACGACGAAGAAGUAGACGGCGUGAGAGNGCGACGGACGACGACGAGGGAGGAGG
rnacentral:rRNA from 1 species